rnacentral:lncRNA from 1 species
GAAAAGAAAGAAGUCAGUUGGCUCCAUAUGUUUCAACUUUUGCAAUGUUGGAAAAUAAGCACAAAACCUGUAUGCUUUCUAUUUGGUACCAUCAACAAAGAGAGCUCCUGAGUAUACCUGCUACCAACUGAUGUGUCUGGGAACCAGUUUCAUUGGCUUCUACGGCAAAGGGCUUUUCAGUGUUCAAUGUUACUACACAAAAUCUGGUUCAUGUGGAAUGACUGCAUAUUGAGGUGAUGUGCAUCUCAAGAGUGCAAUAACCAGGACAGAAAAAGGGUGCCAUGCAGCAUACAUUGGGGAUGCCAGAAUUUCUCUCACCAACCCCCCACUUAAAUACAUUUGGUCUACAAUUGAGGUAGGCUACAUCUUUCUGGCUUUCGUCCUACACCGUGUGGAGACAGCCCCUCAAGGGCAGGGCUCAGAAAUAACCUGUCACUUAAACUGGUAACUCUUGAACAUGUGUCUGCAUGUUUUUUAACUACGUUUUAUUUAUUUAUUAGCAGCACGGUGCUUGUAGAAUAGAGGGAAAAAAAAAAAAAAAAAAAGGCAAAAAACCCCAAAAGCUUUCAGUUGCAAAUCACCGCGUGAGAGCACAAGCCCGAUUCCCUGGGCACGCAACACCGAGCUCGCGG